UACGUAGGGAGCAAGCGCUGUCCGGAAUCAUUGGGCGUAAAGCGCGCGUAGGUGGCCCCGUAAGUCCGCUGUGAAAGUCAAAGGCUCAACCUUUGAAAGCCGGUGGAUACUGUGGGACUAGAGUACGGAAGAGGCGAGUGGAAUUCCUGGUGUAGCGGUGGAAUGCGCAGAUAUCAGGAGGAACACCAAUAGCGAAGGCAGCUCGCUGGGACGUUACUGACACUGAGGCGCGAAAGCGUGGGGAGCGAACAGG
rnacentral:rRNA from 1 species